CCUACGGGCGGCAGCAGUAGGGAAUUUUCGUCAAUGGGCGCAAGCCUGAACUAUGGAUGCCGCUUGAGUUCCUCCUUCCUUCUUUUCUUCCCUCUCUUUUUCUUUUUCCCCCCUUCAGCCUCAGGAAAUGGGUGCUGACUGAUGGUGCCCCGCCAGAAAGUCACGGCUAACUACGUGCCCUCAGCCGCGGUCAUACUUAGGUUGCGAGCGUUAUCCGGAAUGAUUGGGCGUAAAGGGUGCGCAGGCGGUCCUGCAAGUCUGGAGUGAAACGCAUGAGCUCAACUCAUGCAUGGCUUUGGAAACUGGAGGACUGGAGAGCAGGAGAGGGCGGUGGAACUCCAUGUGUAGCGGUAAAAUGCGUAGAUAUAUGGAAGAACACCAGUGGCGAAGGCGGCCGCCUGGCCUGUUGCUGACGCUGAGGCACGAAAGCGUGGGGAGCAAAUAGGAUUAGAGAAAAGGGUAGUC
rnacentral:rRNA from 1 species